GGUUAAGCGACUAAGCGUACACGGUGGAUGCCCUGGCAGUCAGAGGCGAUGAAGGACGUGCUAAUCUGCGAUAAGCGCCGGUAAGGUGAUAUGAACCGUUAUAACCGGCGAUUUCCGAAUGGGGAAACCCAGUGUGACUCGUCACACUAUCAUUAACUGAAUCCAUAGGUUAAUGAGGCGAACCGGGGGAACUGAAACAUCUAAGUACCCCGAGGAAAAGAAAUCAACCGAGAUUCCCCCAGUAGCGGCGAGCGAACGGGGAGGAGCCCAGAGCCUGAAUCAGCAUGUGUGUUAGUGGAAGCGUCUGGAAAGGCGCGCGAUACAGGGUGACAGCCCCGUACACAAAAGCGCAUGUGCUGUGAGCUCGAUGAGUAGGGCGGGACACGUGGUAUCCUGUCUGAAUAUGGGGGGACCAUCCUCCAAGGCUAAAUACUCCUGACUGACCGAUAGUGAACCAGUACCGUGAGGGAAAGGCGAAAAGAACCCCGGCGAGGGGAGUGAAAAAGAACCUGAAACCGUGUACGUACAAGCAGUGGGAGCCCCACCACUAAGCCAGUGGUGAACUCCACAUACGCAUCCUUUGCUGAUGGCAAUGGUUAACGGAGCGAAAGCGACGUUCAACCGCAAAACAAGCAGAGGGGGCUUAGUGGUGGGGUGACUGCGUACCUUUUGUAUAAUGGGUCAGCGACUUAUAUUCUGUAGCAAGGUUAACCGUAUAGGGGAGCCGCAGGGAAACCGAGUCUUAACCGGGCGUUAAGUUGCAGGGUAUAGACCCGAAACCCGGUGAUCUAGCCAUGGGCAGGUUGAAGGUUGGGUAACACUAACUGGAGGACCGAACCGACUAAUGUUGAAAAAUUAGCGGAUGACCUGUGGCUGGGGGUGAAAGGCCAAUCAAACCGGGAGAUAGCUGGUUCUCCCCGAAAGCUAUUUAGGUAGCGCCUCGUGAAUUCAUCUCCGGGGGUAGAGCACUGUUUCGGCUAGGGGGCCAUCCCGGCUUACCAACCCGAUGCAAACUGCGAAUACCGGAGAAUGUUAUCACGGGAGACACACGGCGGGUGCUAACGUCCGUCGUGAAGAGGGAAACAACCCAGACCGCCAGCUAAGGUCCCAAAGUCAUGGUUAAGUGGGAAACGAUGUGGGAAGGCCCAGACAGCCAGGAUGUUGGCUUAGAAGCAGCCAUCAUUUAAAGAAAGCGUAAUAGCUCACUGGUCGAGUCGGCCUGCGCGGAAGAUGUAACGGGGCUAAACCAUGCACCGAAGCUGCGGCAGCGACACUGUGUGUUGUUGGGUAGGGGAGCGUUCUGUAAGCCUGCGAAGGUGGCCUGUGAGGGUUGCUGGAGGUAUCAGAAGUGCGAAUGCUGACAUAAGUAACGAUAAAGCGGGUGAAAAGCCCGCUCGCCGGAAGACCAAGGGUUCCUGUCCAACGUUAAUCGGGGCAGGGUGAGUCGACCCCUAAGGCGAGGCCGAAAGGCGUAGUCGAUGGGAAACGGGUUAAUAUUCCCGUACUUGGUGUUACUGCGAAGGGGGGACGGAGAAGGCUAUGUUGGCCGGGCGACGGUUGUCCCGGUUUAAGCGUGUAGGUGUGUGUUCCAGGUAAAUCCGGUUCACUUUAACACUGAGGCGUGACGACGAGGCACUACGGUGCUGAAGCAACAAAUGCCCUGCUUCCAGGAAAAGCCUCUAAGCAUCAGGUAACAUCAAAUCGUACCCCAAACCGACACAGGUGGUCAGGUAGAGAAUACCAAGGCGCUUGAGAGAACUCGGGUGAAGGAACUAGGCAAAAUGGUGCCGUAACUUCGGGAGAAGGCACGCUGACAUGUAGGUGAAGUGAUUUACUCAUGGAGCUGAAGUCAGUCGAAGAUACCAGCUGGCUGCAACUGUUUAUUAAAAACACAGCACUGUGCAAACACGAAAGUGGACGUAUACGGUGUGACGCCUGCCCGGUGCCGGAAGGUUAAUUGAUGGGGUCAGCGCAAGCGAAGCUCCUGAUCGAAGCCCCGGUAAACGGCGGCCGUAACUAUAACGGUCCUAAGGUAGCGAAAUUCCUUGUCGGGUAAGUUCCGACCUGCACGAAUGGCGUAAUGAUGGCCAGGCUGUCUCCACCCGAGACUCAGUGAAAUUGAACUCGCUGUGAAGAUGCAGUGUACCCGCGGCAAGACGGAAAGACCCCGUGAACCUUUACUAUAGCUUGACACUGAACAUUGAGCCUUGAUGUGUAGGAUAGGUGGGAGGCUUUGAAGUGUGGACGCCAGUCUGCAUGGAGCCGACCUUGAAAUACCACCCUUUAAUGUUUGAUGUUCUAACGUGGACCCGUAAUCCGGGUUGCGGACAGUGUCUGGUGGGUAGUUUGACUGGGGCGGUCUCCUCCUAAAGAGUAACGGAGGAGCACGAAGGUUGGCUAAUCCUGGUCGGACAUCAGGAGGUUAGUGCAAUGGCAUAAGCCAGCUUGACUGCGAGCGUGACGGCGCGAGCAGGUGCGAAAGCAGGUCAUAGUGAUCCGGUGGUUCUGAAUGGAAGGGCCAUCGCUCAACGGAUAAAAGGUACUCCGGGGAUAACAGGCUGAUACCGCCCAAGAGUUCAUAUCGACGGCGGUGUUUGGCACCUCGAUGUCGGCUCAUCACAUCCUGGGGCUGAAGUAGGUCCCAAGGGUAUGGCUGUUCGCCAUUUAAAGUGGUACGCGAGCUGGGUUUAGAACGUCGUGAGACAGUUCGGUCCCUAUCUGCCGUGGGCGCUGGAGAACUGAGGGGGGCUGCUCCUAGUACGAGAGGACCGGAGUGGACGCAUCACUGGUGUUCGGGUUGUCAUGCCAAUGGCACUGCCCGGUAGCUAAAUGCGGAAGAGAUAAGUGCUGAAAGCAUCUAAGCACGAAACUUGCCCCGAGAUGAGUUCUCCCUGAGACUUAAAGUCUCCUGAAGGAACGUUGAAGACGACGACGUUGAUAGGCCGGGUGUGUAAGCGCAGCGAUGCGUUGAGCUAACCGGUACUAAUGAACCGUGAGGCUUAACCUU
rnacentral:rRNA from 2 species